UAUAAAGAUCCCAUUAUGAAAGGGGGGAAGUUUCGAAAUAAAUAACGCCGACGCGUUGUGUUAGACUGUCCAAAACGUUCUGAUUUUAUUGUGAUCGAAAAGUCCCCCAGAGCCUCACACACGAGGUACUGAGGUUUUGCUUGCAAAGCAUUAAUCGAGCUACUUGCUUCAAUCGCGGCGAGGUAAACGAAGUUUAGCUUUGUUCGCAGUUUGGGUUACUGUUGCCGGCUGUGCUGACGAUGUUGGUGGCGUCGAUCAAUUAUGCGGAAAGCAAUUUCCGUAACUGCUCCCUCACCAAGAAAGGAUCGUCCCGAUCCGUAUCGACUGCACAUAAAUUUUCCAUCGGAAAGAACUACCAAACAGGUCACUCAGCGAGUUUGAAAUAUCUUAAGCUUCUUUGGUGAUGUUUGAGGCAUUAUAGUUGUUGCUGUUUUGUAAUUAAGUGUUACAAAUAUUUGUAAUCAAAGAUUACGUAAUCCUUAAUUACAUCUUCAUUUAUUACACUUUUGUAACUCUGAAUUACAAAUUGAGAUUUGUAAUUAGCUAUUACAAACAAACUAUUAUUUCAUUGUAAUGUUUCCUCACAACAAUUUCAAACACACUCGAUUAACUGAAUUUUUUUUGCUGCAUAAUUUUGAAAUGGUUUUCUUUGUUUUUUUUAUCACUCACACACCUUCUAAAAAAUAAAUUUUGAAUCGUGUUUUUUCCUUUUGUCAAAUUAGUUAAUCUGAUCAUGCUGAAUUAUUUAAAUGAUUUCCGAAUUGCUGAUUUUGUUUUUACUCACACACACACUCACUUAACUUAUCAAAUUUGGAAAAAUAUUUUUGAAUUUUGAAUUUAGAUUUUUUUCACUUUAAAUUUUGUUGCUUGUUGAAAAUCCGGGUAACGCUGUUCCUUUGUCUCCCUCGUCGAAGGUGUUGAAAUCCAUGUCGUGCUGCGCUCCUGAACUCGGUUCUGAGUUUUUCGCGAUGUGCACACGAUGGUAUCACGCCUCUUGCCGAAGUAUCCAGUGGAUAACGUUGGUUCAUCUUCUUCGGUCGGUGGCUGCUUCACCAGGUAAUUUCCUUGGCUGCUUCACUCCUGAUCUCCAGAGCCGUUGGUGACGAAUUUCUGCUGAAUGAACAACUGCCGUGUUUUUCGCAUUAACUUGCACUUUUGGUCUCACUACCGAGAUUUUCGCGAACGACCACUUCAAUCACUGGGCACAGCCACCUUCCGGCGAAGACUCGACUGCGCCAGUUAUAAAGAUCCCAUUAUGAAAGGGGGGAAGUUUCGAAAUAAAUAACGCCGACGCGUUGUGUUAGACGGUCCAAAACGUUCUGAUUUUAUUGUGAUCGAAAAGUCCCCCAGAGCCUCACACACGAGGUACUGAGGUUUUGCUUGCAAAGCAAUAAUCGAGCUACUUGCUUUAAUCGCGGCGAGGUAAACGAAGUUUAGCUUUGUUCGCAGUUUGGGUUACUGUUGCCGGCUGUGCUGACGAUGUUGGUGGCGUCGAUCAAUUAUGUGGAAAGCAAUUUCCGUAACUGCUCCCUCACCAAGAAAGGAUCGUCCCGAUCCGUAUCGACUGCACAUAAAUUUUCCAUCGGAAAGAACUACCAAACAGGUCACUCAGCGAGUUUGAAAUAUCUCAAGCUUCUUUGGUGAUUUUUGAAACAUUAUAGUUGUUGCUGUUUUGUAAUUAAGUGUUACAAAUAUUUGUAAUCAAAGAUUACGUAAUCCUUAAUUACAUCUUUAUUAUUACACUUUUGUAACUCUGAAUUACAAAUUGAGAUUUGUAAUUAGCUAUUACAAACAAACUAUUAUUUCAUUGUAAUGUUUCCUCACAACAAUUUCAAACACACUCGAUUAACUGAUUUUUUUUUGCUGCAUAAUUUUGAAAUGGUUUUCUUUGUUUUUUUUUAUCACUCACACACCUUCUAAAAAAAUAAAUUUUGAAUCGUGUUUUUUCCUUUUGUUAAAUUAGUUAAUCUGAUCAUGCUGAAUUAUUUAAAUGAUUUCCGAAUUGCUGAUUUUGUUUUUACUCACACACACACUCACUUAACUUAUCAAAUUUGGAAAAAAUAUUUUUGAAUUUUGAAUUUAGAUUUUUUUCACUUUAAAUUUUGUUGCUUGUUGAAAAUCCGGGUAACGCUGUUCCUUUGUCUCCCUCGUCGAAGGUGUUGAAAUCCAUGUCGUGCUGCGCUCCUGAACUCGGUUCUGAGUUUUUCGCGAUGUGCACACGAUGGUAUCACGCCUCUUGCCGAAGUAUCCAGUGGAUAACGUUGGUUCAUCUUCUUCGGUCGGUGGCUGCUUCACCAGGUAAUUUCCUUGGCUGCUUCACUCCUGAUCUCCAGAGCCGUUGGUGACGAAUUUCUGCUGAAUGAACAACUGCCGUGUUUUUCGCAUUAACUUGCACUUUUGGUCUCACUACCGAGAUUUUCGCGAACGACCACUUCAAUCACUGGGCACAGCCACCUUCCGGCGAAGACUCGACUGCGCCAGUUAUGAAAUUCCCAUUAUGCAAGGGUGGUUUUCUCUUGAUUAAUUACUCCAAAGUGUUCAGUUUGACUGUCCAAAACGUUCUGCUUUUAUUGUGAUCGAAAAGUCCCCCAGAGCCUCACACACGAGGUACUGAGGUUUUGCUUGCAAAGCAAUAAUCGAGCUACUUGCUUUAAUCGCGGCGAGGUAAACGAAGUUUAGCUUUGUUCGCAGUUUGGGUUACUGUUGCCGGCUGUGCUGACGAUGUUGGUGGCGUCGAUCAAUUAUGUGGAAAGCAAUUUCCGUAACUUAUAAAUAAAGAUUAGACAGAGAAAUUUCAAAAGUAACUCUCUCAAACUAACAAUCAAAAGACCUGCAGUUCCGCACCAUCACCUUACAUUUCACCUCCACACUUUUUCUCCCAUUUUGCUUCCAUGUCCGGAACUCACGCCGGCUGGUAAUUUUCUGGAGUACCAACAUUCUCGUCCUUUUUGCGCUUCUCCACCAGCACUAACUGUUUAGCAGAAAGUUGAACUCGGCGCUAACAUCCAGCAACUCUUGCCACAGCUCCUCCUCGACGUCCGCGCUUUCGCCGCUUUUCCUAAACCACCGUUUGGUCAUCUUCCGCCCGGAAGGUCCCGCCUCAGGACUGUCGGCACGUUACGGUUUGAUCCGACGGAGAGGAGAUUGAUCCGAGCCGCCCUAAUCCGGUGGUUCCUGAACUUGCGGGUUCUCGCUGCGAAAAUAAUCAUCCUUUUGCAAAAAAAUACGAAUCACAACAAACAAAACAAUCUGACGUUUGCUGAUGCAAACAAGGCAAACAGUCAGCGCACCUUUUACUGUACUGCAGGUAUUUUUUGUUAAAUAGUUGGUUUAUGGCAAAUUUCUUUUUUUUAAAUUCCUGAAUUUACUUUCAAAGUUGAUAAUAAUAUUGUAUCAAUAGUUUUUGAUUGUUGAAUUAGUGUAAAUUACUUAAAAAAGCAAGUUUGAUUAAAAAUCAAAUGAUGCUGGUAUUUGGUUUGCAUACGGUAAGCUUAUUUGGGUAUGGUGCUGCCAUCUAUGUUUUAAGAUAAGUUUCACAAACCUUCCACCAGAGGGAUCUAGCGUAAAAACCAUGCGAACCUGGCGGCUAUUUUGUGCAAAACCCCUGUCCGUACCCCAUUGAAAUUACUUCCUAUCCACGUCCUGCAUCAUGCACACUUAAAAAACGUCAAACAAAGGAAAGACAAAAAUCGCUGCUGGAGAAAUUUUUGCACCACUAAUCGCCUCCACUGCUGCUGCUGAACCCGCAAUCUUUGGAGUGUUAACAUUCACACAAAUAUAAACAUAAACAUUAAUUGAGUAAAAAUUACCACAGAAUCCGCUUUGUAAAUGCCACCCCGAUACUCUUCAAGUGGUUUCCCUUAUAGGGUAUUUGGGAAAGAUUUACUUUUUACCAUGUCCACUAGGGUGGUCCAAAUCCGGACUUUUUUGGGGCUACCCCCUGAAAUCAAAGAUUGACACAUCACUAGGCUAAAUUCCAAAUUUGAGCUCAUUCUGACCACGGGAACCCCUCCCUCCAAUCGCUUAAAGCUUGCAUGGGAAAAAUCGUCAAAAUGUAUGGAGAAAAGCAACUGUUUUACUUUUUUACCUGUGUAAGGCGCCAUAGUUAUCCGAUUCUUACCAUUUCUCAAAUGUAGAACCUUCAUUAAAUUUAGAACAACUUUCCUGAAGACACCAUAUUUUUAGGAUUUUUUCCCGCGAAGUUAUUUGCGCCAAAAACUGACCAUUUUUGCGCGGCUAGCUGUAAGGGGCUACCUAACAACGAUGUUUAUUUCCAAUUCGUACACGCACGUGCUCUCUCUCAGGUUCAAACUCUCUCGCGAGCUUGCUCGCUGCCUGCCUGCCUGCCUGUUUACCUUGAUAGUAAUUAACUAUUCUGGGGUUAAAUAUGAGAUGAGCACAUGGAGUCCCUUAGGGGGAUUGCUCCAUAGGGCGGCACGUGUCUUCCGGAGGUUUCUACACAAACUACAAAUCUUUCACUUUACACUUACCGGAAACGUCACUUUAUCAGGGGAAAUUAGCUGGAACAAGAUCUCUUUGAACAACAUUUAAAGAAAAGACGACACAACUUGAAAUAGAUUUAGACCAUACAUUUUUGUUUAUUGGGGAGUAAUCAUGGGUAACAAGGGGAAAACUGAUCCAGGAAGGGAAAGAAAAGGGGGAUUUACUAGUACUUGCGCAUUUUAUUUAAGAAAACCUCAGCAUGGUAGACGCUAAGGGUCACGUUGCGGCCGUUGCUGCUACUGAUGUUGCUGCUCGCCUGGUGAUCUCCUUCGGGUCAUCGCCAGUAUCACACCGAUGGCUUCCUCGGUGCUGCCACCGGACACGUUCAUGCUUCACCCCGCAGGGCCACUUUCCCACACUUGGCAAGGGAAAACUUACAGUUUUUGGUAGCUUGCCAUAUGGUUACGGAUGGCGGUUCGUUCCGCAGUCCGGGAAGUGGUACACGCGCGCACUAUCUUCGUGGUCGAGACCCGAGCGAGGACACACCAGUUCGAACAGGGUUCCAGAUUUGACGGACGUUACACUCAUGCGAUUCGUGUCGCAACACUUCACGCGCCCUGUUCAGACCACUUUUCUUCCGCAUGCACUGUCCACCACUCUCACUCGGGUCGGGCGUACGUUACAGUUCCGGAAGUAUAUGGCUCAGCCAGGAUCUACUUCACCGUGGUGUGUCUUCAACACAGGUCACCUAGGCUUAACGUGGUGGACUUCACAGAACCCGUACUAAUUGUUUUUAAGCUAGAUUUUAAUCGUGUAACGUUUCACUGUUUUUAACGGCACUAGCUUUAAGUUUUAACUAUUAACCGGCUCCGUGGCUUAAUGGUUACGGCUUCUGCCUCACAAGCAGAAGGUUCAGGGAUCAAAUCCCGGUCGGUACCUUUGAAUUUGAACUUUGAAUAUGAACAAAAACGAAAAUGAAUCAGGUGGGAUUCGAACUCACGCCUUUGGAUUGGUGGUCUGGGACGCUAAGCAGUCGGCCAUCAGAAGGUUUACACUCUAAGCGGUAUACGCACUUCGGAAGGAACCGGUCAAGAAAAAAUCAAAUGGGCAGCAGCGGCAGCGCAAGCAAGUCAGAGAGGGUGAAGAAAAGCCCCAAGAAAUCGCUCUCUCUCCUUUGUUCUGCUGUUCGUAAAGCUGUUUCUUGACCCCUUUCCUUCCGAUCAGCAUACUAGCCUCUAGCAGUGAAAUGAUCCGUAGUGUUGAAACAUGUUAUCUUCUUCUCAUAUUAAAUACGCGCUGAUCCCUGAUUUGCCUGAGGGGAUUGGAAGUCUAAAUAUAGAUCGAGUUUCCUUCAGAUGCUUGCUUCUAUGUUUAGGCGGGCCGAACAAUGCCCAGCGACCUCGGAAUUGGACCGCAAGGAGCACUGUCAUUCUGAAACGGGUCGUUGGAAGCAGCGCGAGGGCUAGCACCACCUAAUACCCGGGACUGAGAUAAGUUGUAUCAGCAUUCGGCAUAUACAAAGUCUGAUACAAAUUAUACUUUCCCAUAAUAUCGCUACCGGUUAGCGGGUAUUGGAUUGGACCACACACACACACACUAGCUUUAAGUUUUAACUAUUUAGAUUUAAGAAAAUCUGCGAAACUACGCCCUUUUCAUUUGGUGACGGAUGAAUUGGGCGGCUACCGGUUCUUCACUCCUCUGGACUCAAAUAGCUGGUGAAAAUUAGAGAGCUAUACGAGGGCGUUCACGGCUUUUAUAGCUUUUUGCCAAACGCCAAUCCCGCGUGUUCGAGCUCAACGUCCGGUUCCCCUUGAUGACACUGACAGCUGGCGAUGACAGACUGGCGAUGACUGAUGACAACAGUAGAAGCUCGAACAUCACAGCGAUCACAAUGUUUAGGUUGGUGUCUUGGUCAAUUCAUGGAGGAACUAAUUUAUCGAAAAUUGUAUUCUCUCACACACGCUCUGAUAAUAUGAUAUCAAUUGUUAAUCACAUAUUACAUUUAAUUUUAUAUCUCGAAAUAAAUAUCGAAAUAUAUCUUGAUAAUUAUAAUAAACAUACCGGGAACGCAGCGCAGCAAACGAAAACGACGACGACGCACGAGGUGGUUACUUUACAUAUAUUGCUUAUAUCGCAUAUGUUAAUCCGUAUGUGCAUCCAUAUUUACGGCGAUACGCGAUUCCUUCAUAAAAUUUAUUUCAGUGUGGUCACGAGCCGUGGUUGUCAAUGCAGAAGCGCGCGCUGCGGUUUGUUUACAAACAAAGUUCAUAACAUAACCAAUCUUCAUCAACUCUGGUAAACAAGUUGGCUCGUACUUUUGUGACAAUCGUCAGUCACCUGUACUUAGACGUGCAAAUCCGUACCGGUAGCGACCCGGUGAUCCGCGGGAACAAAAUUUGGGGUGGCCAAAACCUAAUUCAACCAGAUCUUUAACAACAAAUUCGUUGGCCUGUGUCUGGCCAGUGGUGUCCAGCCGAUCACCCGUGGCAACAACCAAGACGAGGUGGAGAAGGCCGUAUCCGGGAGGUAAUUUCUGUACAAGAUCAGUUCGCACACGUCCUUUCCGAUGCACGACUUUUACCGGUGCCACACGUGCAACACGACCGACCGGAACGCGAUCUUCGUCAGCUGUACCAGGACGUGUCACGCGUUUUUUUAUAUUUGUAUUUUCAGUUUUUUUUUUUUUGGAUUGUUAUUUUUAAUGAAAACAUAAAAUAAAACCCCCCUCUGCCUCCCCCUCCUGCGACUGCGCCUUAAACGUUAGGUACGGUUCCACCGCAAACGGGGUCAUGCGUUUUGAAAUGUGUAUACGGUUCACGCUGGCCAGGGCAGGAAGCUAGUUGAAAUCAUUGAAAAAAGGGUAUACAUUUAGGUUGUUAAAUUUAUAUUUUUUGAUACAAACAUUCAACCGAGAUCCGUCGUACCAGAAUCUCCUUUUGCUCAAAACAACGGGAAGUUGCGUCGGGGCAUCGGACGUCGCAGGCCGAGUUUUUGUUAAUGUUGCAAUGGUAACGACAAAUUGGACGGGUUUCUCCUGCAGUUUAUUGUUGUAACCACCCUUGAUCGGGCCCAAAACGGAAGCCGCGUUGGGCGCCAAAUGUAACUGGUAAAAGAUUUCCCGAAACAUUAACUGGUGAUUGAAAGGGUCGGGAAAUCUUUUACCAUCUCGGUUCAUACCACCUGUCGGUUGCUGACGGUGACUCGGUGGCACCGUUACCUUUUCCACCUGCCCUGAGUUGAGCAGCUGGGUCGGGCUUUAAUGCAUUUAGAUCUUGCUGGUCCGCGGCCGUCAUCGGCCUGGCGCAUAUUAGUAGACUUGGUUCUUGGCAAAACCUCUAGACAACCCCCGCCCGUUACAGCCUUUAAGUUUUCUGAUGUUCCUGUGACGCUCCACUGAAGUCUUGUAACUGAAAUUCAUUCGCCCGCAGCGUUUCCCGGCAAACGUGAAAGCCGAGCUGAGGCCGGGCCACGGGAGUUAGCAGUUCAGACUCGAUUCGGUGGCACCAAAAUCCUUGACGUACUCGGCGGUUGUAUCAAUUACGACACUAACCGCGUUUGAUUCUUGCCUCAGGUGCUUUCGAUUCUGGUCCAAUCUUCGAAGAGCACCGGUAAUUUCCCUCGAGCCAGAAAAAUAAAUGUGGAGCAGUGACAGUUUGUAAAUGAAGAGAACCAAAAAGUGACAUUUCUGAACUGUCAUUAUCCACACUGAACCAAAUUUCGUUCCAGUUGUCGUGCAUGUAUUCGAUCAACCAUAUUUACCUGUAUUUACCAAUAUUUACCAAUAUUUACGGUAGUUAAUCCAAUGCGCUACGGAUCAACCUUGUGCCCAACCCCGUGCGACGACGACAAAAAUCCAAGCAGAGAAACAGCGCGCGCUAAGGUAAAUAGGCAGGCAGGCGAGCAAGCUGGUGAGAGAGUUUGAACCUGAGAGAGAGCACGUGCGUGUACGAAUUGGAAAUAAACAUCGUUGUUAGGUAGCCCCUUACAGCUGGUCGCGCAAAAAGGGUCAGUUUUGGGCGCUAAUAACUUCGCGGGAAAAAAUCCUAAAAAUAUGGUGUAUUCGGGAAAGUUGUUCUAAAUUUAAUGAAGGUUCUACAUUUGAGAAAUGGUAAGAAUCGGAUAACUAUGGCGCCUUACACAGGUAAAAAAGUAAAACAGUUGCUUUUCUCCAUACAUUUUGACGAUUUUUCCCAUACAAGCUUUAAGCGAUUGUAGGGAGGGGUUCCCGUGGUCAGAAUGAGAUCAAAUUUGGAAUUUAGCCUAGUGAUGGGUCAAUCAUUGAUUUCAGGGGGUAGCCCCAAAACAGUCCGGAUUUGGACCACCCUAAUGUCCACCAAAUUGUUAUACAAACAAACAAAAAAUAACAAAUCAAAUCAUAACGAUAAUGAAACAUUUCAAAUUUCAAAAUUUCUAAUGAUUGCACAUCUGCCAACAAUAUUUAUAAGGGGUGUCACAUGAAUUACAACAACAAUAACGAUUAUUCUUGUAAAACAACCUUCAAUCACCAUUUCAAACGCACUUUUAACUAUUUGUUUACAUAAGUAAAGAAUCUAAACAACACAACACCUUUCCCAACACAAAGUUAACAACGAAAAUCAGCAGCCACCGAUUAAAUAACAACACCCGCCGAAGCUCGUUGAAAACUGACUGAAAUGUUUAAUUCGAAAUAAAUUCGUUCAGAUGCAAACCGCCACGGCAUUCAGUCAUUGGCUCGCCGCGGCGAUUGAGGGGCGAACGAUAUUGAAACAGUUUGAACGAAAUUGAAAAAAAUCAAACGUCAAAUUCUAACCGCCCUGGCUGCCCGCCUUCUGUCCGCCAGGGCGGUUCCAGGGCGGACCACACGAUCAUUAACGUUCGCCGAUGCGUAACGUCCGCCCUGAGUUAAUAUGGGAUGUUUUGGUAUUUCCAACAUGUGCAGUUCUGUGGGGAACUUAAUUUUUGUUUUUUUUAUGCUUCUCUCGUUUCAUUCUAAUUUUAAACUUUAUCGACAAUUUUAUGAAUGGGUGAGAACGAGUAUGUGCGAAAAGCAGUUGGAUGAGUGUGCACUAGGGUGCCCAGAAAAAAUGACUCCCUGCUUCACAAGCGGAAAACGGUUUUUGGGUUAUUUUAAGCAUCUGUGUGAAUUUUGAUUUUUUUUAAUCGUUCAUGCAUUUUAAACGUUGAGCCAAAACCGGUUUGUCCUUUGACUCAUAUUUAGCACUGAUACUUAAUUUGUCUAAAUGAACAUAGAAAGAGGAUUACCCAAAAAAUAUUUUUUGUCACCCUAGUGUGUACCUCCGCUAUUAAAGAACAUCUUCCUCGAUAUCACACCCGAAACGCAACUGGAUUUUGAGAGGCGUUUAUGUUGUUAUGAAUUAGUUGUUUUUCAAAUGAUUCAUUUCAAAUUUCUGUGUUUAACCGUAGCAAUUUUUUUGGAAGGUGCCAGCCGCACAUCGUUGAUGUUGAAACCUCUUAACUGGGCCCUCGUCCUGUCACGUCCGUCAAUAGUCUUGUCGUACAUUACAACUAGAAUCAGAUCUGCCAAUGAAUUAGCACACUUCGACCAAAUUAACACUGACGCUGCCCGAGCAUGGGUAAAUAACAAGGGUAAUACACUCAAACCCCGAUGGUUUGACACCAACUGUUGUCAAACGAACGGGGCCACUUUUUAGUUUGACACUCCUUUUAUACGGAGUUCACACACACUACCAAACGUUUGUUUUGAUAGUGUGCGAGAGCGCCAUGUAAGAAGUGACAGUUCGUCACUUUUUAGUUUGUGUAACCGGCUCCGUGGCUUAAUGGUUACGGCUUCUGCCUCACAAGCAGAAGGUUCAGGGAUCAAAUCCCGGUCGGUACCUUUGAAAUUUGGAAUCAAGAAUUUGAACAUUGAAUAUGAACAAAAAAACGUAAAUGAAUCAGGUGGGAUUCGAACUCACACCUUUGGAUUGGUGGUCUGGGACGCAAAGCAGUCGGCCAUCAGAAGGUUUACACUCUAUCAGUGAAUUGAUCCGUAGUGUUGAAACAUGCCAUCUUCUCAUAUUAAAUACGUGCUGGUCCCUGAUUUGCCUGAAGGGAUUGGAAGUCUAAAUAUAGAUCGAGUUUCCUUCAGAUGCUUGCUUCUAUGUUUAGGCGGGGCCGAACAAUGCCCAGCGACCUCGGAAUUGGACCGCAAGGAGCUCUGUCAUACUGAAAUGGGUCGUUGGAAGCAGCGCGAGGGCUAUCACCACCUAAUACCCGGGACUGAGAUAAGUUGUAUCAGCAUUCGGCAUAUACAAAGUCUGAUACAAAUUAUACUUUCCCAUAAUUUUGCUACCGGUUAGCGGGUAUUGGAUUGGACCACACCACACACACACACACACACACACACACACACACACACACACACACACACACACACACACACACACACAGUUCGUCACUUUUUAGUUUGACUUUGACCAACCAACGGGGUACAAACUAAAAAAGUGUCAAACGAAAAAGUGACCAACCACCGGGGGUUGAGUGUAAUACCUUUCUCUGGCAUCAAUACCAAAUUUUGGUAUUCCUGGACCCUUCAAAAUUUGUCUUAAGAAUUAUGCAAGAGCAAAAUGUGUUAUCAUACAAAUUUAAGGUAUUGUUUUGAUAUUACGAAAUUGAAGAAUUUGUCAAUGGUCGAACACCACAUUUUGGUGGUUCUUUUGGUAUUACAGUAUUUUAUCAAAUUCCUCUAAAACUAUGCAGCAAUUCCCCACGAAAACAGCAUGAAUCGAAAAAAAGUUCUCCUAUCGGGCUCAAAAAUUUUCUGAGGGUUCCUUGGUCAAAAUAAAUGAACCCGUAUUUUUUUGUUUGGCCGUUAGGGUGACCUACACAGCAAAAAAUCCGAUGGUAAAAUCGCAUGCAAAAGCAUGCACAUCACCUUCGUCAAGUCAAAAUAAACACUUAAUAUUACACACUGCAUGUACAAUUUUUCUACACACAAAAAAAAGUUGCAACCGACGGGAUUCAAACCCAGCACCAACAGUAAGGGCUGGUGCCUUAGCCCGCUCGGCCAUCAGACCGAUGAAGAAUUGAAAGGAUAAACGCAUAUAUGAGCUUGACAUUUCGGUCAAGUAGGAUUCCCAUACUGAUGGGCUACAUAUUUCAGGGUGUAAAAUCACAUAGAAUUGCUUAAAAUAAUGCAAUAUUUAUUUUACACCCAGGCCUUUUACACGCAGCUGGAUUACUACUUUAUUUGCUGUGUACGCCGUG